rnacentral:rRNA from 1 species
GACGAACGCUGGCGGCGUGCUUAACACAUGCAAGUCGAACGAUGAACCCGGAGCUUGCUCCGGCGGAUUAGUGGCGAGCGGGUGAGUAACACGUGAGUAACCUGCCCUUGACUCUGGGAUAACUGCGGGAAACUGUAGCUAAUACCGGAUACGACCCUCGGCGGCAUCGCCAGGGGGUGGGAAGAAUUUCGGUCAAGGAUGGACUCGCGGCCUAUCGGCUAGUUGGUGAGGUAACGGCUCACCAAGGCGACGACGGGUAGCCGGCCUGAGAGGCUGCCCGGCCACACUGGGACAGAGACACGGCCCAGACUCCUACGGGAGGCAGCAGUGGGGAAUAUUGCACAAUGGGCGCAAGCCUGAUGCAGCAACGCCGCGUGAGGGAUGACGGCCUUCGGGUUGUAAACCUCUUUUAGUAGGGAAGAAGCGAAAGUGACGGUACCUGCGGAAAAAGCACCGGCUAACUACGUGCCAGCCGCCGCCGUAA